rnacentral:misc_RNA from 1 species
AAGUCGUAACAAGGUUUCCGUAGGUGAACCUGCGGAAGGAUCAUUACUGGAAGGUCAGGUCCUUUCUUGGGCCCGACCUCCAACCCACUGUUUACACAUACUGUUGCCUCGGCGGGCCGCCGUCCCCUGGGGACGGCCGUUGGCUUACGCUCUCGAGCGCCCGCCGGUGGAAUACAUCAAACCCCUUUUGAAACUAGCCAUCUGAGUGAAUUUUAAAUACUUCAAAA